rnacentral:rRNA from 1 species
AUUGAACGCUGGCGGCAGGCCUAACACAUGCAAGUCGAGCGGUAGAGAGGUGCUUGCAUCUCUUGAGAGCGGCGGACGGGUGAGUAAUGCCUAGGAAUCUGCCUAGUGGUGGGGGAUAACGUUCGGAAACGGACGCUAAUACCGCAUACGUCCUACGGGAGAAAGCGGGGGAUCUUCGGACCUCGCGCCAUUAGAUGAGCCUAGGUCGGAUUAGCUAGUUGGUGAGGUAAUGGCUCACCAAGGCGACGAUCCGUAACUGGUCUGAGAGGAUGAUCAGUCACACUGGAACUGAGACACGGUCCAGACUCCUACGGGAGGCAGCAGUGGGGAAUAUUGGACAAUGGGCGAAAGCCUGAUCAGCCAUGCCGCGUGUGUGAAGAA